ensembl:lncRNA
GAAGAGGUCAGGGGGGAGGGGGGGCGAGUGUCUUUAUCAUGUUGGUCUGUUGACAGAAAGCAUAGCUGCGUCAUGUGACUCCACUAAUCAGGUCAUAGGAGCAGCUUUGAGUCACAGACAGAGAUACUGCAGCAUGUGUGUGCGAGUAACCACGGCAACGGCGCACCUGGGCUCAUUAACGAGCUGCUGCAAAGGGCAGACACAGGACAGCGAGUUACAUAGAAUCCACACCUCAAACAAAUGACAACCAGCGCAAAACUAUAACAGCUAUCUAAAAAAUAUGGCGUUUGUGCGAGACCCAAGACUCUACCGAACGCAGGGAGGUGUUAUUUAUGUCUGUCCGGUAAAAAAUACGGCUCUUGUCGAAGUUUACAAAACGUGUACCUUCUGGAUUUUUUAGAAAUAUGUUGGCAGAUUUGUAUUGGAGCCUAUGGGGCUUUUAGCAGAGGUUGUGUGACUGUUGGUCUCCGUAUGCCAAAACUAAAGAACUCUGGGAUUCUAUGAACACAUUAAUCCAAUCAGCACAACCAUGCCCUCAUUAAUCUGAAGAAAUGAAGCAUCAAAAGUGUAUACUUUGGCUGUAAGGACAGAAGUUCCAUAUUUUUCUAACCAGAUUCUGACGCUGCCUCACACUCUAAGAUCUCCUGGUCUCACUCUAGCAGACGCAAUACACACUCGUGUAAAAGUCAGAAACGGAGCGAAGAACUAGUGAAACAUAAUCAGUGAUUAUGAAAAAAGUAGAAUAGAUAUCAACAAGCAGUUUAUUUCAUAAAAUAGUUGAGACCUGUGUCAACAUUUGAAAGUUUAAAUGGUGUCUGUAGCUGAAAGAUUGGCGGCGCUGAAGAGUCUGAAAGUUGAAGAAGUUUAAGAGGAUUUGAAAACAAUCUCCAUUGGAAAACCAUGUUAAAAUAUUAAUGAUUAUUGAUUUAUAUAAAUUCAAGCAUAAGAGGUAGAAAGCUGAAAAGCUAUAACCCUAAAGCCAGAAAGGAGCUGAAGAUUUUAAUAUUUUAACGGUUUUAAUAGCUGAAAGUGUGAAGGAGUUGAAAGGUGCCACGGAAGAAAUAGAAUAGGUAGAAAUAAAGAAUAGAAGAACAAUACUUGGAAUGCUUAAUGCAUGCCAUGAAAAUAUUGAAAUUGCCAAUGGCUUUGCUGAAAAAGUGUUAAUGCCAAAAAGUCAAGACCAGCACACCAGAAAAACAUCAUAUUUGAGCAUUCAGGGAGUAAUAUUAGCAGUAUUAGUAUCAAGAGCUGCAGUAGUAGCAGUCGUAGUAGCAUCAUAGUGACUGUAGCAGCAGCAGGUGUAGUUGUAAAAAUCAGUAGUAGUCUCAGUGUUGUAUCGAGUAUAAAGCAGACAGUGACCUCAUGACAAACAUUUUAUUUGUUUACAUUUAGAAUACAAUUUUGUGAAUCAACAAUUUAAAAAUAAUUAAAACAGUAAUUAGUAAUAUCAUGUCAAGACUAACACACAGAACAGCCUAAUAUAUUGCACAUGCAAAAAUAUAAAUCACUCGAUUUUAUUGAGGAAAAACCAUAGCAAUUAUAAAAAUGUCAAUAAAGAGUCUCUGUACACAUGGAAAUGAAAAAUGGCAAAGUAAAAAGGGUUUUCUCUUUGUAUAUUUAAUUGUUCAAGUAAGGAUGACUUAUUCAUCUGAAAUAAGUUACAGUUAAAUUGAUUCAUCAUAAUUUAAGUGCUCUCAAGUGAAUUAAAAACAGAGAAUUGGAAAUAAAGAAAAAGGAAACCCUUUCUGCAGAAGCCGUUUUUAUCCACAAAGAUCCCACAAGAUGAACCCAUAGUGCCUAUAAGAAAAACUUUUUAAAUAGAUGUAUACCACAGACCAGGCAGAACAUUAUUUUGUCACUACCAGUAGUUUGAGGUGUGUGCUAUAUUUCAAAAGAUGCAUUUACAUCCCAUCUUUACAUCCUUUUUUGACUCAUUAUCGUCUAUCGAAAUAUAAUAAAAUAAUAUAGAUAAUGUUACGUCCCCUGUUCUGUGUAUAGGUAUGUGUUCUGUUUCGUGUGUGUGUGUGUGUUCAUACAGGUGGUACUGAUCAUCUAUGAUCUCCGUUCAUCUUGGCUCCACCCACUCUCGUUACCCGGUUCAGCUGUUUCCACUCAUCUCCAAUCCCAUCAUGCCCUUCUGUCAGUAUAUGUACCCCUGUGUUUGUUUCACCCGGGUGGGUGUCACUGGAUGUGUAUAUGGGGAUGAGGAGUAGUUUAGCCCUGCUCUGGAGUUUACAUACCUGCACGUAGUGUUACUCUCCUGUCUAACAACACUAGCUACACCUGGCUGGGCCACCUACUGUAAGUUUGGUUAGGGUGCCUUGUUAGUGUGCCAGUUAGUGGUUUUCGUUGGGAGAUAGGACAGGUAAGGGGGUGGGAGGCAUUUUGUUCUUUUCUUUGCUUUGGUACCGCCAGCCCUCCUCAUUUCCCCUGUUAACAGCGCUUAAAUAAAAGCCUGCUUACCCUAA